GGGCGGAUAGCUCAGCUGGGAGAGCGCCGGCCUUACAAGCCGGAGGUCGUAGGUUCGAGUCCUGCUCCGCCUACCA
rnacentral:tRNA from 1 species